AAGAAAUAUCUUUGGUGUCACUCCAGGGGUACUAAUGGAGUCCCAGAGGAAUGAAUUUCAACCCUGCAGUCUCAAGAGUUGGGCUUCCAGCUGGCUAUGUACAGAGUGCAGACCAAGCAUGCUGAAAAUGAAAGGCAGCAUGUAACCUUCUGAAGUCACUAAUUGUAGUACUGCAGGCCUUGAGCGGUAAUUAUAAAGACUUCAAAUCUCCCUAGUGACAUCAGCUGGUUAAAAAACUUUGGAUCACUGGAUUAAUGUAACCCAGAGCCUGCUUUCGGCAGCGUUAUUCACACUUCAGACAAGGCAGAAGAAUGGAGGGAGUGAAGAUGUCAAAGGAGUAAGAACAAGACAGAGGGACUCAAAACCAGUGAUUUGAGAUCCGCGCAACGCAGCCUGCCACAGGAGCGGGGACUUCUCGGGAACACUGGCGUGCGCAGGGUUUAAGCCCACCGUAGAGAGCCAGCCUAGCCUUUGAAGUGUUACAAGGGGAAGGAGGAGUCACAUCGUGGGCCAAACCACAUGGGCAAGCAAUACAAGCUGUGAAUUUAUUCUUGACCCUGUAGGACAGUGACCACCUUCAUUUUUGUCUUCACCAUACAGUUAUGCACUGCCAAUAAGGCAGACCUGAGUUAUUACCAUGGUAUCUGUCAGAGGGACUGAAUAUUGGACGCAUUUGAACACAUCCAAAAAUGAGAUCUCAGAAACUGUUCUUGAGACCUAAUAUCCCUACAUGUGCGUUCAUGGCUUUACUCACCUGAUGAUUUGUGUGGCUUCAGGGAGUAAUGUCACUGCUGUGUGUGAGCUCCAGGUGUGCUUACCCUUCCAAAUCAAGCAGCAGCAUUUUUUCCAGAGCCUGCUAAGCAU